AAUGUUGAGGAGGAAGCCAUGUCUGAAUCUCACCAAAUUUACAGCUAUAACUGCUGGAUUACAUGAAUGGUAGCUGUAGAAUGAGAGUUUAAUGAUAGUUUGUUAAUGAGAAAAAUGUUUUUUUUUACUUUUUUUCUAAUUUAUGUCUGUUUUGGGAUAAGAAAUAUAAUCUCUGGAUGCUAAUUAAGGAUUUAUUUCUAUUAUAUAACACUCAUAUUCAUUGGUGUUCAAUACUAGCUUUUUCUCCAUUAAUCUGCAUCAUGUACUUAUGCUUGAAGUAGAGUUGUCCUGUAAAUCUGCCACUAAAAGUUUUUUGAGAGGUUGUGGGAUUUGAAAGAAAUAUAAACAAACAAAAGAAAAAAAGUGGACAGAGAUUGGCUUGUAUGAUCAUUUUUAUUACCAGUUUAAAAGGAUCAAAGAGGAAAAAACAUUUUCCUUCUCACUGCUAUGGCUUAUGAUAGAUAUGUGGCUAUCUGCCAUCCUUUACACUACAUGUCCAUGAUGCAAUGGAGAAGCUGCUUCCAGAUGGCAGGGGCUGCAUGGAUGCUCGGCUUUCUUAAUGCUGCCAUGCAUGCAGGAACCCUUUUUUCAUUGCCUUUCUGUUCUAAAGUCAUCCAUCAGUUCUUCUGUGAAAUCCCACAUCUCAUGAAAAUUUCCUGCUUCGAUCCGAAAUUUAGUGAAAUCAGGGUUCUUCUCUUUAGUUCUUUGCUUGGUGUUGUUUGUUUUAUGUUAAUUAUCAUGUCCUAUGUAAAAAUAUUUAAGACAGUAUUGAGCAUGUCCUCCGUGGCCAGUAGACAAAAGGCCUUCUCUACUUGCAUUCCUCAUCUCCUUGUUGUCUGUUUAUUGCUUGGUACAGGUAUAUUUUCCUAUUUCAUACCAAAUUCUGGGUCUUCUUACAAUUGGGAUGAGGUCUUUGCAGUGAUCUACUCUGUGAUCCCUCCAAUGAUGAACCCUGUAAUUUAUAGCAUGAGGAAUAAGGAUAUCAAAACUGCUUUAUGGAAGUUGUUUAAUCAAAGGAUUACAAAUCAAAAUACAAAACUCUGCUAAGAACAACUAAACCAUUUUCCCUUAAGGACUAAAAAUAUCCCACUAAUUUUUUGUCCCGAACAAUAACAUCUUUAUUAUCAUUUAAGCUUUGUGAACUACAAUUUACUUAUUUGGACGCAUUGGGCAUAGUUCAGAGACUCACGCACAUGCAUUUAUAUGAAAUGGUUAAAAUGUUAAAAAUUUGGAAUUACCAGUAGUUAUCUUAAGCAAAGGGGAAAAUAAGUGUGACAUCCACAUUUUCAGUUUAAUAUUUUGAUCAGAGUAUAUAUUGGGAUAAGAAACAUCAAUGAAAGAUUAUUUUAAUUCUUGUCUUGGCCAAGUAUUUGAUCAUGAAAUCUCCUUUUCUUCUCUCAUUUCCUUUUUUAAGAUAACAACCUUGAAAUCAGGCUCAGAAUGUUCUAGAAAAUGUCCAUUACUGGUGUCAGAUUUUAUGUGGAAGUGGAAUGUUUUAUCCCAUGUACAAUGGGCUGGGACCAGGGUAACAGAUGAUAGGAAAUUCUUUUGUAAUGAAUAUUUGCUCCUGUGAUAUUCUGGGUGAGACAAUACGAUCUUUUUAUUGUCUGUGUAUCAUUCUGGUGUUGUUGUUUUUUCUGACUAAUAGGUGCUUCAUCUAGGAUAGCUGUCUGCAAGCAAAUGCAGAUAUCCAACAUCAUAUAGCCUUAGGUCAACUAUGGGUGUUAUUACUCUUUAUACUUUGUCAAGGCAAUGCAGGUACCACAACAAUCUUUUUAUUAUUUAUUGUUCUUCACCGAGCAUUCACUGCAUUUCUUUCUCAAGCUCUUAAAAAUAGGCUAAAAAGAACAAGGCAUUAAUAGUAGUGUUGAAGCAACAUUUGUUGUUGUGGAAUCAAUCAGCAGCUAAACCAAUAUAAAAAUACUGAAACAGUGAACAAUUUAAACUUAUUGAAGCUGCUAUUAACCACAUACGGUAAUAUAUGUUGUAGUUAGAAAAUCCUAAACCAUCAGCAUAUUUACAGUUUAGCUGUAGGUCAAUGCAUAUUUGGACAAUCUUUUUCUGAGAAAUUUCUCUCCUUAGGAUGGGGUUGCAAAUCCCGAAGACGUGCUCAAGAUGGUAUACAAUUUGGAUGUUGUUAAAAUUUUGAGAUUCUGUUGACUGAUUGUUGUAGAUAUGAUUAGAUUCAGACUUCAUUAAUAUUCUAUUAUCUGCCCAUGGUCUUCAAAACAAUAUGGAAAUUUUCCUACCAUAUACCAGAUGGAGAAUCCAAUUAAUUUGUAACCAAAUCACAUCCAUUGAUAUUUUGCAUAGUUGCAGGUUUGGAGGUGAGGAAGAAAAUUCUACAGUAUAUCUCAAAUUUUAGAGUUUGGCAAAAUCAUUAUUCCCAAUCAAAGGUUUCUCUAAAGUUUGAUAACCAUAACCACACUAUGUUUUUCUUCUAUGAAAUUUCUUCUUUAAUAAAAGGAAGCUGGUACUGGGGACCUGUCUUUUUCAUUCUA